rnacentral:misc_RNA from 1 species
AAAAGAAUUACAUCUCAAAACUCGCAGCCCGAUAAAUUUAACAAGGAGGGUACACUGUACACUUCAGAGCGUCAAAUUUAACCAUGAUCAGACUGUCCAGAAAACAUUCUCUCAAUGUCCCCUUCGAAGAACUGAGAGAAACCCGCCUGUUGACUUUUCCUUUCGCCGCUCUUCUGGCUCGCCUCCGACCUCCUUUGCAAUGUGUUCGAGUAUCGUUAGAAUUUCUGAAAAGUCAGGUCGUUGUUUAGGGUCUUGUCG